AUCAAAAAUCAAAUAUUCAAAACAACACUCUUACUUUAAACAGCAGAAUAAGGCUCUCUUCAGCUAUAAAAUCAAACACCCCACCUUCCUUCAAAGCCUGCAAAAUGCCACACACAUUCAAAUCCAAAUUAAAAAAAAAAAAAAAAGUUAAUAAUAAUUAAUCUAUAAAAAAAAUAAAAAAAAAGAGACCCUAUUUUCUUAAAUUGAAAAAAUAGACAUACCCCUUUUCAGAAAAUCAGAUUCAAGAACCAUUACAGUGGUGAUAUUUUUGCUAUAAAGAUUGCAUCUUUGAUACGAAAUCUAUUUCCUCCUCUCUAAUUUCUGCUUGAGACAUUGAAUAUAUUUGAAUGAGAGAGGAGAAAAAUCAAAAUCCAUUUAUGACUAUAAGUAUUAUUCCAUAUAAUUUUGUAUGUAUUCCUAAUAGGUCUCUGCUUCGUUUCACACAUGAAAAAUCAAAGUACGUUUUGGUACGUGCUAUAAACCAACCUUAGUUGAUACUUUUCAUAUGGCCCCGGCUUUGUUGCAUGACUUACGGGUAUCUCA
rnacentral:lncRNA from 1 species